rnacentral:rRNA from 1 species
GCUUUGUCCGGAAUUAUUGGUCGUAAAGAGCUCGUAGGCGGUUUGUCGCUUCUGCUGUGAAAACCCGAGGCUCAACCUCGGGCCUGCAGUGGGUACGGGCAGACUAGAGUGCGGUAGGGGAGAUUGGAAUUCCUGGGGUAGCGGUGAAAUGCGCAGAUAUCAGGAGGAACACCGGUGGCGAAGGCGGGUCUCUGGGCAGUAACUGACGCUGAGGAGCGAAAGCGUGGGGAGCGAACAGG